rnacentral:RNase_P_RNA from 3 species
CCUGCUGGCUGGGCGGCGGCGCCCAACUCGGGCGAGGAAAGUCCGGGCUCCGCAGGAGGCUGUGCUGGGUAACUCCCAGGCGUCGGGACAUCCGACGACGGAAAGCGCCACAGAAACGCAAACCGCCCCAAUCGGGGUAAGGGUGCAACGGUGCGGUAAGAGCGCACCAGCGUUUGCGCAAGCAAUCGGCUGGGCAAGCCCCACAGGGAGCAAGGUCAUGUAGGGAGGGGAUGACGCGCUCCGCUGACCCUCCGGGUAGACCGCGUGAGGCUUCGCGUAAGCGAACGCCCCAGAGAGAUCGCCGCCUCAAACAGAACCCGGCUUACACGCCAGCAGGCACA